GCCUGGCGAGACGGCAUGGUAGCGUCCAGGUCCGCCCAGGACAGGCCACCCGCUGCCCAGAGAUCUGCCCCACCCGCUGCUGCCCUACUGAGAAGCCAGAGGUGCUGCUCUGAGGAGCGCUAGGGAGAACCAGCGGACCCUCUGUCUCCUGGCCCAUGCGCAGAGUUGGACCCCGUGAGUCCUGGACAUCUCAGGAUGGCCUGCAGGUUCUGUUUGCCCACAACAAAAUUAAUCUCCCGACGGCUUACCCCAUUUGCUCAAGUCCUCUUCUGAGCCAGAGACAGGCCGCCUUUGAUUCCUGCCCCCCCCCACUUCCCACCUCCAUUUAGACAGUUUUUCUGGUCUACCUGACCAGGAUCUUGACUCUAGCUUUUAGCGCUGCUCCUUACCCUUGGCUCCCAUCGAUUGGGAGUUUCUGAAGCUGGAUCUGAGAUCUGGGAAGGUUUGUAUGCACAGGCACAGGUGCCACCCACAGGGAUUCUUGGGAGUUGUGAGUGGGGAUGGGGUGGGGAUGAGGGUUCUGUGCUGAUACAAAGCAGCUUCUAGAGAGUGCCACAGUGAAGGAGGUGGGAGCCCCAGAGAGAAAAGACCACAGCCUCCCCUUUCCCUGUGGACUACGAAGGGGACUGGAGGUGGGCUUAUCCUAAUGAGAGUAAACGACCCCGCCAUAUGAGCAGCAGGCUGUUCCCACGGCUUGUGAAUAGCCAAAGGUCAGCAGUCCCUCCAGAGCCAGUGAGCCAGCCCUGUCUUCUCUCCCCAAAGCAAUUGCUGUUACUCGGGGAAGGAAGGGCAUACCCACCGCGACCCUCAAGAAUUCCCAGUGCCCCAUAUCUGCCUACUCUUGCCAUGCUAAUCCUUUGGAGUUUACAAUUUCUCAUUCCCAUCUCUUGUUUUCCCCCCACUGGACUUGAUUUUAUCCAAUCAGCUGCUCUCUCUCUCUGUCAGUGUCCAGCCCAGAAGUUGGCCUGGAAGUGGUAGAGGUGUGCAUGGGUGGAGAGACAGACAGAGGAAAGGAGAAGGAAGGAAGGAAUGAACAAAUGAAUGAGCCAAGGCCUACAAAAACAAAGAUGGAGCCCGAAAGAAAACUCUGAGCACCCAUCUUAUGGACAGGUGUAGCUGGAAGGACCACGGAAAUGGGGAAGCCAAUGUGAGAGUGUUCCCUUGAGCCUUACCUGACAACCAUCUUCACAGGAUAGACACCAACCCCCAAGCGCCGGGGCCGGGGCACGUUAUAUGUGAUUCGGCCACUAUUGUUGGUGAUCUCCGUAUCCAGGUGUACCCAGCGUCCUGAGGAGGGCUCUACCAUCACCAAGAUGUCCACCUGCAUGCAAUAAAGGAAGGCAAGGACCCCACUGACCCCGAGGGGCUAAAGGCUCAGCAGAGAGGCUGAGCUGGGAAGCUCUCUGCCAUUCAGCAGGCUCUGGGACAUAGGUUCCUGCCUGACAUGCCCUGGCUUUACCAUCCUCCCUCUCUCUCUCCACUGAAGACACUUGGGCUUAUUUUUCUUUCUCAUAUGCACCAAGCACAUCCCUUACCCCUUGAUUCCCCUGGUGCCACCACCAUCUGCCUAAGCAGGGCAAGUGGCUUUCUGCUCAUGCCCCUACCAUGGACAACCCCCACCCCUCCUACCAUGUGGAGCCAUUAAGCACCUGGUGCAGGUGGGCAACUGAGGAGGAGAUGCCCAGCCCUUAGUACCUUUUCACCGGUCAAAGCCACCAUGUCAAGAGGCCCAUACAUGAACCUCCCCACCAGGACCUGGGGACCAUCUUCAGCAGCAAUCACAUCAUUGGCCCGGUGAUUAGCAGUAACAUUCUGAGAGGACAGAAAAAAAAAAAAAACUCAGAUUUUGCAUUUUAUCAUUAAACCAUUCUUAGGAUGGCCAUAGGGAUGUGGACCUAUGGAAUCAGGUUUCUGAUUAAUUUCUGUUAGGGUUUCAGAGAUGAUUCCCACCAAGCCAUGAGAGAAACAGAUCACGAUUCCCUAGCAUUGUCUUCAAGGCACCUGGACUUCACAUAGAAAUGCAUUUACUGCUGUGGACCCUCCAUAGGCCCCUGAAGGAACAACCAGUCCUCUCAGCCUCUCUGUUUUGCAAGUCUAAAUUCCUAGGCUGGAAGUUGCCCGGUCACCCCUGUCUCUUCCCUUCUGUGUCCCGGCUCCCAUCCAACAGCCAUUUUGCCAUCCGUCUUUUUCCAGUGGAAAAUUUCAAACACUCAAGUGUAGAGAGAAUAAUAGAGCAAAGCCUCAUGAUUCUGGCAGCCUUUCCCCCACUUAUCAACCACCUGCCAUUCUAGUAUCCUUCUCCUUGUCCCAGCCAGCCCAGCAAUCCUGACUAGCACAUCAUUUGAUCUGUAACCAUUUCAACAUCUUCAUUCUUCACUUAUUCCUUCAGUUCAUCCUGCAGCUCUGAGUCCUGAGUUGGUUCCGACUUCCCAACACCCCCAGGUUAGCUUUGGAGACCCUCAUCUCUCAACCUGGUGACCCGUCUUUCAUAGUACUGUCCAUGUAGGUAUCUCGGCCACAUCCACAUCGCCUCUACAGUUUCCUGUCCCUCUGCCCCCUCCUCCGCCUGCUGGUCCUUCUAGACCCAGCUCUCAGGGGGCCUCCAGGCUUUGGCUCACACAGGACUCUCCACUCUGUGCAUGCCUGGCCUUCUGCCCCCAUCUACUAGGACCAGACUCAACUUCAUCCUCUCAUAGAAGCGCUCCUCCAACUCCCCAAAGAUGCCUUCUCCACCUCCUCUCACCCCCCUAUGGCCUUUACUUCAUUUCAACAGAUGUUUGCAGACUCUUCAUCGGCACCAGUCCCUAAGAAGAAGCAGUUGUGGGCCCUGCCCUGGAGGCACCCAGCCCUCUGGGGGACAUAAGCACCCUUAUAGGAGCACUGAAGAGGGAAGAGGGAAUUUGUGGAAGUAAGCGCAUCACGUGUUCAAUAUGCAAAUAAAAUGCAAAUUAAAACCGCACAGCUGAGAGGACCAGAAUUGAAGAGACCGACAAUAAUAGGUAUUGCUGAGAUGGGGAGAAAUCAAAAACCCUCGCACACUGCUGGUGGGAGUGAUUGUAGAAUGGAGUGACUGCUGUGGAAAAAGUCUGGCUGUUCCUCAAAUGAUUAAGCACAGGGUUAACUAUUUGAUCCAGCAGUUUUACUUCUAGAUCUGUGCCAAAGAAAAAUGAAAACAUAUGUCCAUACAAAAAAGGUAUGCAUGACUAUUUAUAGCAGCAUUAUCCAACAGCCAAAGGUAGAAACAAAUGUCUAUCAGCUGACAAAGGGAUGAACAAAACAUCCACACAAUGGAAUUUUAUUCAGUCAUGAAAAGGAAUGAAGUUCUGAUACAUGUCUCAAAAAUAGGUGAACCUUGAAAGAAUCAUGCUACAUGAAAGAAACCAGACACAAAGCAUCACAAAUUAUAUGACUUCAUUUCAGUGAAAUGUCUAAAAUAGGCAAACCUUCAAAGUCAGAAAAUAGAUUUCUGAUUACUUUGGAAGAAAGGAAGGUUUGGGACUAAAGAAAAAUAACUAAAGGCUUUCUUUCCUGAGGUAAUAAAGUGAUUGUAAAAUUGA